rnacentral:tRNA from 1 species
CCUCCGGUAGCUUAGUGGUUAGAGUUCUAGUUUGAUAGACCGGAGGUGGUGGGUUCGAUUACCACCUGAGGCA